rnacentral:rRNA from 1 species
AGUGAACGCUGGCGGUAGGCCUAACACAUGCAAGUCGAACGGCAGCACAGUAAGAGCUUGCUCUUACGGGUGGCGAGUGGCGGACGGGUGAGGAAUACAUCGGAAUCUACUUUUUCGUGGGGGAUAACGUAGGGAAACUUACGCUAAUACCGCAUACGACCUACGGGUGAAAGCAGGGGAUCUUCGGACCUUGCGCGAUUGAAUGAGCCGAUGUCGGAUUAGCUAGUUGGCGGGGGAAAGGCCCACCAAGGCGACGAUCCGUAGCUGGUCUGAGAGGAUGAUCAGCCACACGGGAAGUGAGACAGGGUCCAGACUCCUACGGGGGGAAGCAGUGGGGAAUAUUGGGCAAUGGGCGCGAGCCUGAUCCAGCCAUACCGCGUGGGUGAAGAAGGCCUUCGGGUUGUAAAGCCCUUUUGUUGGGAAAGAAAAGCAGCAGGUUAAUACCCCGCUGUUCUGACGGUACCCAAAGAAUAAGCACCGGCUAACUUCGUG